GAGGAAAAGAAACCAACAGGGAUUGCCUUAGUAGCGGCGAGUGAAGCGGCAAAAAGCUCAAAUUUGAAAUCUGGCACUUUCAGUGUCCGAGUUGUAAUUUGAAGAAGGUAUCUUUGGGUCUGGCUCUUGUCUAUGUUUCUUGGAACAGAACGUCACAGAGGGUGAGAAUCCCGUGCGAUGAGAUGUCCCAGACCUAUGUAAAGUUCCUUCGAAGAGUCGAGUUGUUUGGGAAUGCAGCUCUAAGUGGGUGGUAAAUUCCAUCUAAAGCUAAAUAUUGGCGAGAGACCGAUAGCGAACAAGUACAGUGAUGGAAAGAUGAAAAGAACUUUGAAAAGAGAGUGAAAAAGUACGUGAAAUUGUUGAAAGGGAAGGGCUUGAGAUCAGACUUGGUAUUUUGUAUGUUACUCUCUCGGGGGUGGCCUCUACAGUUUACCGGGCCAGCAUCAGUUUGAGCGGUAGGAUAAGUGCAAAGAAAUGUGGCACUGCUUCGGUAGUGUGUUAUAGUCUUUGUCGAUACUGCCAGCUUAGACUGAGGACUGCGGCUUCGGCCUAGGAUGUUGGCAUAAUGAUCUUAAGUCGCCCGUCU
rnacentral:rRNA from 1 species